rnacentral:rRNA from 1 species
AGAGUUUGAUCAUGGCUCAGAUUGAACGCUGGCGGCAGGCCUAACACAUGCAAGUCGAGCGGUAACACAGGGAGCUUGCUCCCGGGUGACGAGCGGCGGACGGGUGAGUAAUGUCUGGGAAACUGCCUGAUGGAGGGGGAUAACUACUGGAAACGGUAGCUAAUACCGCAUAACGUCGCAAGACCAAAGAGGGGGACCUUCGGGCCUCUUGCCAUCAGAUGUGCCCAGAUGGGAUUAGCUAGUAGGUGGGGUAACGGCUCACCUAGGCGACGAUCCCUAGCUGGUCUGAGAGGAUGACCAGCCACACUGGAACUGAGACACGGUCCAGACUCCUACGGGAGGCAGCAGUGGGGAAUAUUGCACAAUGGGCGCAAGCCUGAUGCAGCCAUGCCGCGUGUAUGAAGAAGGCCUUCGGGUUGUAAAGUACUUUCAGCGGGGAGGAAGGCGAUAAGGUUAAUAACCUUGUCGAUUGACGUUACCCGCAGAAGAAGCACCGGCUAACUCCGUGCCAGCAGCCGCGGUAAUACGGAGGGUGCAAGCGUUAAUCGGAAUUACUGGGCGUAAAGCGCACGCAGGCGGUCUGUCAAGUCGGAUGUGAAAUCCCCGGGCUCAACCUGGGAACUGCAUUCGAAACUGGCAGGCUAGAGUCUUGUAGAGGGGGGUAGAAUUCCAGGUGUAGCGGUGAAAUGCGUAGAGAUCUGGAGGAAUACCGGUGGCGAAGGCGGCCCCCUGGACAAAGACUGACGCUCAGGUGCGAAAGCGUGGGGAGCAAACAGGAUUAGAUACCCUGGUAGUCCACGCCGUAAACGAUGUCGACUUGGAGGUUGUGCCCUUGAGGCGUGGCUUCCGGAGCUAACGCGUUAAGUCGACCGCCUGGGGAGUACGGCCGCAAGGUUAAAACUCAAAUGAAUUGACGGGGGCCCGCACAAGCGGUGGAGCAUGUGGUUUAAUUCGAUGCAACGCGAAGAACCUUACCUGGCCUUGACAUCCACGGAAUUUGGCAGAGAUGCCUUAGUGCCUUCGGGAACUGUGAGACAGGUGCUGCAUGGCUGUCGUCAGCUCGUGUUGUGAAAUGUUGGGUUAAGUCCCGCAACGAGCGCAACCCUUAUCCUUUGUUGCCAGCGGUUAGGCCGGGAACUCAAAGGAGACUGCCAGUGAUAAACUGGAGGAAGGUGGGGAUGACGUCAAGUCAUCAUGGCCCUUACGAGUAGGGCUACACACGUGCUACAAUGGCGCAUACAAAGAGAAGCGACCUCGCGAGAGCAAGCGGACCUCAUAAAGUGCGUCGUAGUCCGGAUUGGAGUCUGCAACUCGACUCCAUGAAGUCGGAAUCGCUAGUAAUCGUAGAUCAGAAUGCUACGGUGAAUACGUUCCCGGGCCUUGUACACACCGCCCGUCACACCAUGGGAGUGGGUUGCAAAAGAAGUAGGUAGCUUAACCUUCGGGAGGGCGCUUACCACUUUGUGAUUCAUGACUGGGGUGAAGUCGUAACAAGGUAACCGUAGGGGAACCUGCGGUUG